CCUACGGGAGGCUGCAGUGGGGAAUAUUGGACAAUGGGGGGAACCCUGAUCCAGCCAUGCCGCGUGUGUGAAGAAGGCCCUCGGGUUGUAAAGCACUUUCAGUGAGGAAGAACGCCUGGUGGUUAAUACCCAUCAGGAAAGACAUCACUCACAGAAGAAGCACCGGCUAACUCCGUGCCAGCAGCCGCGGUAAUACGGAGGGUGCGAGCGUUAAUCGGAAUUACUGGGCGUAAAGCGCGCGUAGGUGGCUUGAUAAGCCGGUUGUGAAAGCCCCGGGCUCAACCUGGGAACGGCAUCCGGAACUGUCAAGCUAGAGUGCAGGAGAGGAAGGUAGAAUUCCCGGUGUAGCGGUGAAAUGCGUAGAGAUCGGGAGGAAUACCAGUGGCGAAGGCGGCCUUCUGGACUGACACUGACACUGAGGUGCGAAAGCGUAGGUAGCAAACAGGAUUAGAUACCCGGGUAGUC
rnacentral:rRNA from 1 species